CACAAGUGUGGCUGAAUAAAUUCCUAUGAAUGUCACAAUGGAAAAAAGUUGAAUAUAAAAUAAAUAAGCACUAUUUGUAUAUUUAAGCAGAUCUCUCAAAUAAAGAUGAAUGGUAUUAAACUCAAUGAGUCUUUUUGCUUUUGGAUGAGACUUGGAAGAAUCGGUCCACAAACUGACUGCUACUACCCUGUUUCCCUGAAAGUAAGGCCUGCCCCCAAAAUAAGCCCUAGCUUGAUUUUUGGGGGUGGGCCUAAUAUAAGCCCUAUCUCCAAAAUAAGCCCUAGUUUUGGGGUAAGGUACACACCUAAAAAUCAAGCUAGGGCGGGGUAGAGCUGCCCCAUGCGCCCUGCACCCACUCAUCUUGCAGCCAGGCCUAUCCUUGCUGGCCCACUUCUUCUUCUGAGGCCUCUUCUGCAGUCAGGCUUGCAUUUCUGGAAAGGCCACUGCAGCCGAGAACCGAGCUAUGGAGGAAUCCAUAGCUCGGUCCUUGGCUUCAUAGCCCUUCCGCAAAGGCCUGAUUGGGAAAUGCAGGCCAGACUGCAGCUGCAGAAUGAAUCUGCUGCUUUGGCUGCAGAAGUGGACUGGUUGGACAGGGCUGUCGGUGCCGGAGAGGCACUGGGGAGUUGCAGCAUUAGUUCUGACAAGCCUUUGAGCAGAACAGAAGUGGAAGAACAUCAAAGAAGUUGCUUUUAUAGACCAUCAAUUAAGCGUCAGUUUUAUAUAAUUUUUCAUGUAACAACUUGUAAAUACCAUCUCUUAAUCUGAUCUCAGAGCCUUAGGUUUUCAUUUGGCCAAGUGAAUAACUAAUCUUAAAGACAAACUGGCUGGACAAGUGAAAUGGGAGAAAUCUCUCUGAUUGAGCAAUGUGCUCUCAAUAAACAAAGAAAGAAACAAAUAAAUACUGGCUACACGCCUCAGAGUUACCAAGACCAGGAGUGAUGCUAGAGUUCACUAUAUUUUGUCUUAUCACCAUCAUGCCAUGCCAUUUAGGGGUAAAUUACUCAGAUUCUGAGAGAGCCCUAUCUCUCUUACAAGUUGGUAUCAAGGGUAAGGAAUUAGGACAAGAUACUUCUUUCCUCCAUAAAGAUAGAAAAGUACUAUUAUAACCCAUAACCAGAAACCGCACCAAGGUAAGUGGGGAACAAAGGCCGAAAGGGAAGAAUCAGACUCCUUCUGCUAUCUGUCAAUAUGUGUCCCAUCUCCAAUCAUUCUUGCAAGCAAGUUGUCUGAACCUAGGAUAUUUGAAAACAAGAACCAAUACAUCCUGUUCAUAUAUCUUAAAUGGUUAGCUAACUCCCCAGUAAAACAAGAGAGAAGUGAAAAGGGAUCAAAGGCAUGAAGAAGGAUGCACCUUAAUACACACACAGUGAUAAAAGGCAUACAUACGUAUCCUAUUCACAAGAAUGUAUAAUCUUUCCCUUGCAAUAAAUCUGAUUAACAAGAUUUUAAGAUAAUCUCUCUCUCAGGACAUUUGGUUAUUUGCUAUUUCCAACUUUUUUUUAAAAAAAUCAUCUUUUAAAAAUAAAACUUCCACAGGGAACACGAUUCUGUAUCUGGAUAUAUAAGAUAAGGUUAUUUACUGAGAGGAAAAUGCUCACACAGUACUGGGAGUAGCUUUUCCCAAACUUGUCUCCUCUACUGUAAAUGACUUCCAAGCCAACACUAUCAUUAGCCAUGCUAUCUGAAGCUCAUGGGAGAUGGUUUAAUAAAUUUAGAGGGCACCAGAGUGGAGAGAUCAUAGGAGGGAGCAACCUGCCAAUCAGUUCAUACAAAGAUGGUAGAGCCAUGUGGAAAAAUUGGAUUGCUGAACUUCUUUAAAUAAAUCUGAACUUAAAUUUAAAAAUUUUGAGCAAAAUCACACAGAAUAUAAUUUUGGACAUACAAGGAUGUGAUUAAAUCAACGGCUCAAGACCUUAAUUUGGAAAUUAAUCAGAAGUCUGUUUUGUAGAUUAGCUAGCUGACUGAGUUUGGGCUGGCUGAUUCAGCAGGAAAAGUCAAACAUCCAUGGGACAAACAGGCAGAUAGCCUCAAAAUUUAAAAAAAAAAAUUACCAUGACUUUAAUUUGCUAAUUUGUGCAGAGGUGAGGAUGUUUAAUAAUUGGACAGUAUUUCUGCCAGAGUUUUAAAUUAAUUAAUAUGUAGGUUCCUUUGCAAAGUGUUUGAAAAAGAAUGAAAUCUUUUCUCCUUCUCUUAGAAAUCAGAAAUAUAUUUGCGUUUUUCCAGAGUUCUGGCAUUUUGCUCACAAAAAAGUUCCUACUAACUAAAAUUCAAAUCAUUAUUUUUGCUUCUUGUUAUUAACCACUUAAUAGGAAAGACAUGCCAAACAAAGAACUAUGGUGAUUCUAAUAAAUUCAUAUUUAAGUAUCAUCAUAUCUGAGCCUCCAAGAAAAAAAUCCUUAAAUUGUUACUAAGUAAUCAUUUUUAACCAGUUUAACUCUUAUUAGCAUUUUACAAAAACCAAUUCAACUUUAUAGGCAAUAUUCUUGAUACAAAAAUGGGAGGCAGUUAUCAAAAUCUGGCUUUGUUUGUCCAAACACAUUUAUUAUUUUUAUAUGUUUUGGACUCUUACAUUUAGGAUCUAAAUCUUAAAUAUCUCUAAAGGCAAAUACUGAUUGGACUUGACACACACAAACAGUGAUUGGACUUGACAUAUUUGCUGCUAGCCACGCCCCCAGAGAGUGUUCUGAUCCUUCCAAAGAAAGUUGACAGAUCUCUUUAUGUCAUGGCUAUGUCACAAAUAAGUACAGUAGCACCAUCUAGUGAUCAGCCUUUCUGAAUUUCACAUGAUAUUCAAAAUAUAUCAUUAUUUCUAUUCCACCCUUCUUAUGUAUGCAUCACUUUAUGGCUUAUGCUCUUAAGAUACAAACCAAAAGUAUUGGGUGGAGGCAUUUGGGGGACAUCUAUGUAAAUCUCUCACUAGAACUGCAUCUGACUUUAUAUAGUGCUCUGUGAAAGCGAAACUGCCAUUCAACGGUAAGGACACGUAUUUUCCAUGCAAAUUAGCCUAGCAUUAGUCUCUAAAAGGAAUUACCAGUUAGAAUACGGAAUACUGAGCACGAUGAGCACAAUGGUUUGGAAUAAAGCACAUUCUUUUAUAUUCACACACAUUUAUGGCAUAGGCUUCAACUAUAUACAUUUUGGCAUACCCAAAAAAUCAUUACAUUUCUUUGGAGUUUCUGUAGCUCAUCUUCCUACAAAGUGUUCCUUAAUAUUUGUGUUUCUUAAACAUAUAUUUUUAUCUUAUCUGCUUAAAAGCUGGCACGUUAUGACUGUCAACACAUUUUUUGUUUCAUUUCAGGUAAUUAAAAAAUAUAGGUAAGUAUAGGUAAGUUCAGGUAAUUUUCAAAAUAUAAAAGCUGUUGAUAAUUUAUUUGAAAAAUAAGACAUAGUGCUAGGAUUGAAAUAAAGUUUCAAGAAAAUGUCCAACAAUGAGGAAGAGACAUGGAAGCAUGGAAGCUCACUUGCCCAUUUUAUUACACAUAAGGGAGAAAUGAAGAAUACCGUAUUUUCUGGCGUAUAAGACGACUUUCUAAAGCAUGCAAAUCGGCUCCAAAGUCGGGGGUCGUCUUAUACACCGAGUUGUCUUAUACGCCGGAAAAUACAGUACUUAAAAUUCUGUAGCUGGAAUAACUUGAGAAUCCGAUUCCAGCUACAAUAUUCUCAUAAGAGCUCGUUUCCUAACACUGAAAACUACUUUUUUUAAAUGAACGAUCAUGGAAAACUAUGACCUGAACACUCCAGUACAUAUCCUGAAAAUGUAAUGUUUAAAACUGGAAAGCCAAUUAUGGCUUAUAUAUAUAUAUAUAUAUCGUAUAUAUAUAUAUCUUUUAGGUAUAUGAAGCUUGACAUCUCAAUACUAAGAUUACCAAAAAGGGAUCACUUUGCUUCUAAAGAUAAAGGCAGAACCGAACCCUCCAAAACAGAAGAUGAGCCUUUUGUUCCAAAAAGUUCCAGGUUAUGGCGUCAGCUCCUUUUCUGCUGUUAUCACAAAGUUUCCUGAUUACAGGCCAAAGUCCCACCUGCAAUUUCCUAUCAAAAAGAGGUACCUGUGCAGACAACAUUAAAAUGACUGUUGCAGGAAUAGGCAGAGUCAAAGGGAAACCUUGCAAAUGUUUGACUAAUAUCUUUGCUGAAUAACUGGGUUUGAAGACUUUCUCUUCUCAGCAAAGGCACGUGUGAAUAGUAAGGGGACAAGAGGGAGGAGGGAAGAAUAAGGCAAUUCAUUAGAUUUGCUCUGCCAAAUUAAUAGCAUGGUUGAAUAAAGGAGAGGAAUGGGCUAAAUCCUAGGAUGCAACGGAACAGAGAAAAAAAAA